rnacentral:lncRNA from 12 species
AUGGGAUCUACAAUAUGUGUGUGCGAGAAAGACAGAGAGGGUUUUCUGACAGGGGUCCUGCUGACGGGCUUUAAAAGCCAGCAGUCAUCUCUUACAAUAACAAACACACCAAUCCAGCCCAUCAACCGUGGGAGACUUAAAACACCUUUCUUUUGUGUUUUCAUUCAGGAGACAUGCACGACCGAACACGUUGAAUGUCUUUCGGUAACACGUCAGAAGAUCUGUCUGAUAUCAAAUAUUUUCUCGUCUUAUGUUGCCAUGGCGAACAAUCAAGCUAAACAGAGUAGUGAGUGUCUCAGGCCGAGCAAAGGACAGAGCCGAGCUCAUAUCUGUCUUCGGUGUCCCGGUUCAGAGGGUUAGACGUCACCUUAUCUGCUGUCUCUUUACUGUCAGGUCCAGCUCUCCAUCCACCAACACCAGCUGAAAGACUUUUGACGUCUCAAAGGGAUUUUGAGAAAGCAAACAAAAUUUCUACAAAAAAAAAAAAAUGUCUAUUGGACUACUGUUGACAGAGGCAGGGAUUUAAUGAUUCUGUACAGCAGAGAUGAUUCUCUGCCAGUUCCUAGAACUGAAAUAGUUUUAUAAUUAAUAAAUAAUUGAAAAAUGUAUAUGUAGCAUUUCAUAUAAAUGUAUAUAUAUGUAUAUAGCAUUCAAAAUAAAAGUUUUUGUUUACAUAAUAUAUGUAUGUGUACGGUGUAUAUUUAUUGUGUAUAUAUUAGGGGUGGAACGUGCCUCGGUUCGCGUGUCACGUUUCAAUACCAUUUUGGUACAACAGGAAAAAAAAAUCUACUAUGCUUGGUUUCUUUUCAUUUAUUUUGAACAGACAGUAGUACAAAUGACUAUUUUUUUCCAGCUAGAUGUGAAAAUACUAAAUAUUAUUAUAUUUUUAAAUAUAUAUAAUCUGCAGUACACAUAUACAUACAAGGAAUAAAUUCUUUAAAUACAUUUGAUUUAGUUUACAGAUAAACAAGGGAAAAAGUGUGACAUACCUGUAUAACAUAGCCUAUACUGUAUAUGCUGAGUUUCAGUUCAUUUUUGUGACAGGCUUAUUUGCUUUUGUUCACAGAAAAGAAACUCAAAUGGCAGAAAGCGUCAUCCUAUUUGUUUUCUUUAUUUUACAAAAGCACAAUGUUUUGUUUUCAUUGUGAGUGUACACAAAUAAAAGCAGACCUUCAUACGGUGAUGCAUUAUUAAUAAGACAAUAAGUGUUUAAAGUUGAUUCUGCUGGUAUAAGGAAAAAGUUGAAGUGAUUGCGCCAGCAUGCACACACACACACACACAAAACACAUCAGUUCCAGCAUUGCUAACUUGACAGCACAGUUGGUACUUUAUCAAAAUAAAAUACAGUAAACCAAAAAUCAGCGCGCCUGCCUCUGUGUCUCUGUGGAACUGAAGUACAAAGCCUAUCAUUUACAUAAUAAAUGAGAGAGGUAGGAUACACGAGCACAAAGGUCCAUAUCACAAACAGUUGAGUGCACAAGUCUUUAAAGUAUACUCCUUUGUCAGUCUGUUAGAGACGCACUCAGAGUCAGCACAUGGUCACUGUCUAGUGGGCUUUGUUUUCAAGUGUGCAACUCACGACAUUCGCUGUUCUUUUGCUGGUGGCCGGUUAUCAAACCGCCUUGCAUUGCUGCACGCACCCCCUUCUGGAUUGGGGGUGAAUUGCCUGUAUUCGUUGUAAGGCCUCAUGCAACGAACCGAGAUGUCCGUACCAUGCAAUUCCGUACGAAUACAUGUAUCCUUCCACCCCUAGUAUAUAUAAAUACACAUACAUGCAUGUAUAUAUUUAAGAAAAUGUGUAUUGUUUAUAUUUAAAUAAAUUAAAUAUAACAUAAUGUAAGUUAUAUGAAUAUAAAUAUAUAUAUGUAAAUAUCACAUGUACAUAUAGAUAUUUUUAAAAUAUUCACUGUAUGUGUGUAUAUAUAUAUACACACACAUAAUAAAUGUGCACAGUACACACAUAUUAUAUAAAGAAAAACUUUUAUUUUGGAUGCGAUUAAUCACAGUUAAUCGCUUAACAG